UUCUGAAGCAGAGCUCUGCCACUGAGCUAGCGUGCAUCCUACUUCGGUAGAGCGCCCACAGACCCGCCGACCUGACGCAAGAUCCCUCGACCAAGGUUGGGGCGCCCCGAGGUCCGACCAUAGGGUCUCAAGCUCCCUCGACCUCGGAAAGAACUACAAAUCAAUAAAGCCUCCCCAGAUUCUCUCAACUUCGGCGGGUGCCGUCGGGUCCGUGAGAAGCCCGAGCCCCCCUCUUACGAGCCAAAAAUGACUCCGGAGGUUGACGAGGAAGGGAAGUAACCUACUUCGCCAUGUAAAGCACAACUCUGAGAAUGCAAGAGGUACAUCUAACUCGACGCCCUCCUUGUAAAAUUUUAUCUACAUACUGCUAAUCAUCCAACGUUGGAGUCCUAUCUCGCCCCAAAGUCGGGCUACUCCAAUGGAUCGGCUUAAGACCGAUCUCCUAACUACAUUAUGCAUGCUCCGUUCGACAAGUCUCCACUCGUCAAGUCUCAACUGGUACAAAGUCUUCAUAAAUUAGGGCCCAACUCGGCCCCCAUACAUAGACUCCGACGUCUAGCUGAGAAAGUGGCCCCGGCCGCGAGUGUACCAGCCGAACACAGAUACUAAGGCGAUCUUUAGAGAUUCCAGCCUUACUCACCGAAACCUCGAUAAAUUUCGGGAACGAUAACCAUGGAAACCUUCGGCGAUAAUUCGACUAUUAGCCCGCGCUCCCUACAAAGGACCCGGAAGUCAAGUUCGGAAACCCGACUGGGCUCUCCGAAUAGCGGCACGAACAGACCUAGCCCGAUCCUACUCGAAGGGCUAAGGCCCGACCUCAAUGCCUUGGGAUUUUCCUAAAGGCCGAACGUGACGACUCUCGCAAUUCUAAGAUCCGAGUUAUAGGACUUAGAAAAAUUCUGAAAACCUAAGCUUGGAGCUCCCUUUGCUCGGAAUGACUAAGAUCCGAGAAGGCCAAGGUAUAACUCAGGAAAAAGGGCAACUUCGUUAAGUAGCCCGAAAACUAAAAUGCAAAGUUAGAGGUCGUCGAGGCGGUUAGCUAAGGCUCUAGCCUCAUUCACGACAAGAAAGGAAAAGACGAGCACGGAAUGACAAAAAUAUUUUUUCAUUGACAAAGGGCCGGAAGGCCAAUUACAAAAUUGGAGGUCGGCCAUUCAAGAGCCGACCCCUGAUACAAUGAAAAAGGAAAAAUACGCCAAGUCUUAAGCGGCGGCAGCAACAUCCGCGGGGUCGUCCACGGUGAUGGCCUCGGGACCUUCAGCCGGCACAGGCUCGGGGUCUUCUCCAACUGGCUUAACACUUCC
rnacentral:lncRNA from 1 species